GACGAACCGUGCAAACGUUAUUCGGAAUCACUGGGCUUAAAGGGCGCGUAGGCGGGCUGUCAAGUCUGGGGUGAAAUCCCGCGGCUCAACCGUGGAACUGCCUCAGAUACUGACGGCCUCGAGGGAGGUAGGGGCAUGCGGAACUGUAGGUGGAGCGGUGAAAUGCGUUGAUAUCUACAGGAACUCCGGUGGCGAAAGCGGCGUGCUGGACCUCUUCUGACGCUGAGGCGCGAAAGCGUGGGGAGCAAACAGG
rnacentral:rRNA from 1 species